AGGGAAUAUUGCAAAAUGGGCGAAAGCCCGAUGCAGCAACGCCGCGUGGGCGAUGAAGGCCUUCGGGUCGUAAAGCCCUUUUUGAGGGGAUGAGGAAGGACAGUACCCUCAGAAUAAGCCUCGGCUAACUACGUGCCAGCAGCCGCGGUAAAACGUAGGAGGCGAGCGUUAUCCGGAUUUACUGGGCGUAAAGCGCGUGCAGGCGGAUUGGAGAGUUGGAUGUGAAAGCUCCCGGCUUAACUGGGAGAGGUCGUUCAAUACUUCCAGUCUUGAGUGCAGUAGAGGGAAGUGGAAUUCCGGGUGUAGUGGUGAAAUGCGUAGAUAUCCGGAGGAACACCAGUGGCGGAAGCGGCUUCCUGGACUGUAACUGACGCUCAGACGCGAAAGCUAGGGUAGCAAACG
rnacentral:rRNA from 1 species